GCCGGUGCGGGGUGCUAUACAUGCAAGUCGAGCGCGGGAAGCAGGCAGAUCCUCUUCGGAGGUGACGCCUGUGGAACGAGCGGCGGACGGGUGAGUAACACGUGGGCAACCUGCCUGUAAGACUGGGAUAACCCCGGGAAACCGGGGCUAAUACCGGAUAAUACUUUUCGUUGCAUAACGAGAAGUUGAAAGGCGGCUUUUAGCUGUCACUUACAGAUGGGCCCGCGGCGCAUUAGCUAGUUGGUAAGGUAACGGCUUACCAAGGCGACGAUGCGUAGCCGACCUGAGAGGGUGAUCGGCCACACUGGGACUGAGACACGGCCCAGACUCCUACGGGAGGCAGCAGUAGGGAAUCUUCCGCAAUGGACGAAAGUCUGACGGAGCAACGCCGCGUGAGUGAUGAAGGUUUUCGGAUCGUAAAACUCUGUUGUCAGGGAAGAACAAGUGCCGUUCAAAUAGGGCGGCACCUUGACGGUACCUGACCAGAAAGCCCCGGCUAACUACGUGCCAGCAGCCGCGGUAAUACGUAGGGGGCAAGCGUUGUCCGGAAUUAUUGGGCGUAAAGCGCGCGCAGGCGGUCCUUUAAGUCUGAUGUGAAAGCCCACGGCUUAACCGUGGAGGGCCAUUGGAAACUGGAGGACUUGAGUACAGAAGAGGAGAGUGGAAUUCCACGUGUAGCGGUGAAAUGCGUAGAGAUGUGGAGGAACACCAGUGGCGAAGGCGACUCUCUGGUCUGUAACUGACGCUGAGGUGCGAAAGCGUGGGGAGCGAACAGGAUUAGAUACCCUGGUAGUCCACGC
rnacentral:rRNA from 1 species